UGUCAUGGUUUAAGCCUGGCACAAUACCAGUGCCCCCAAGAGAACACCUACUUCCCUGGCACCUACUGUGAGAUAUGAUCAGAGACAGAGCAAAGCAGGCUCCAACUUAAGGUUAAAAGGAAAAAAAAAAGCAUUUAUUAACCUACAACUACAAAGGAAGACACACAAAACACAAUAGAACAUAAGAUGAAAAC